rnacentral:misc_RNA from 1 species
UCCGGUUUGUCACCGGCAGUCUCCCAUGAGUCCCCAACUUAAUGCUGGCAACAUAGGACAGGGGUUGCACUCGUUGCGGGACUUAACCCAACAUCUCACGACACGAGCUGACGACAGCCAUGCACCACCUGUAUACCGACCUUGCGGGGGCUACAUCUCUGCAGCUUUCCGGCAUAUGUCAAACCCAGGUAAGGUUCUUCGCGUUGCUUCGAAUUAAUCCGCAUGCUCCGCCGCUUGUGCGGGCCCCCGUCAAUUCCUUUGAGUUUCAGCCUUGCGGCCGUACUCCCCAGGCGGGGUACUUAAUGCGUUAGCGCCGGCACUCAGGGGGUCGCUCCCCCAAGCACCUAGUACCCAUCGUUUACGGCGUGGACUAC